rnacentral:misc_RNA from 1 species
CUGGACUGUAUCAUGACGGGCAAUGCGAGGUAGAGGCUGCACCUUAUACCCUCUAGAUGCCAUGACUUCAGCGAUCAGAAAGGUUCCCUUGAUUGCCUCACCAACCAUUUGAGGUGAAAGGAACAGCCCCUGAAAAUAAGUUCGCAUGAUAUCACCAGGGGUUGAGCCACAAUCCAUGCCAAGCCCUGGUGCAGAGAGACGAGCUGCUGCUGCUUCUACCCAUUUUUUCCUCCCUGCAACAUAUCCACCACAUGGUGCAAUGGUUCCACCUGGAUUUUUAAUCAAACUGCCUGCAAUCAGAUCUGCACCCACCAUUGGAGGUU